CCUACGGGUGGCAGCAGUGGGGGAUAUUGCACAAUGGGGGAAACCCUGAUGCAGCAACGCCGCGUGAAGGAAGAAGGUCUUCGGAUUGUAAACUUUUGUCUUGUGGGAAGAUAAUGACGGUACCACAGGAGGAAGCUCCGGCUAACUACGUGCCAGCAGCCGCGGUAAUACGUAGGGGGCAAGCGUUAUCCGGAUUUACUGGGUGUAAAGGGAGCGUAGACGGUGUGGCAAGUCUGAAGUGAAAGCCCGGGGCUCAACCCCGGGACUGCUUUGGAAACUGUCAUGCUGGAGUGCUGGAGAGGUAAGCGGAAUUCCUAGUGUAGCGGUGAAAUGCGUAGAUAUUAGGAGGAACACCAGUGGCGAAGGCGGCUUACUGGACAGUAACUGACGUUGAGGCUCGAAAGCGUGGGGAGCAAACAGGAUUAGAUACCCUUGUAGUC
rnacentral:rRNA from 1 species